ACUUAAAGACAUUUCAUGAUAUCUAUCCAGCAACAAUGUGUGUGCAAUCAAAUCUACCAAGAUAAACUCCUCAAACUGAAUUCCUUAAAUAUUUAAACUGCACCCACUGUCAGGUGCUUUUACAAAGGGCAAAGGUAAUGUUUAACAGGAGAAAACUUUGGUGGAGCUUCUCUUCAAACAGACCACAGCAUGAUAUCUCAUGCCAAGGGUACACAUGCAACUUACUGGGGCAACUUUCAGUCCAAUAUGUCAGAGAAAGAUCAGAGAUCCAGUUCAGGACAGAGCAAGAUUAAGGGGGAAUAUUUGCAAAGCUCAAAAUACAUAAUUGAGGUCAAACUGUGGUGUAUUCAUUGGUGGAAUAAACACCGCCUGCAGAUGUCAGCAUAGUACAGUAUUACAUGUGAAGAAAAUACAGUAGCCUAUGUGAAGUCUGAUAAAUCAGAUUGUGGACCCCAUAUGUUGAGGCGGGCCCUCUAAACCCCACCCCCUGCACCUGCAAACCUGUCUGCUCUGUGUCAUACAGUAUCAACAAGAUGAGUCUUUGACAUUGUACAGAGGCUUUCCAGGAGCAAUAUCCUCACCAACAAUUUGUUCUGCCAAUGUCAUUUAUCACAUGUUCAAAAUUAUAUGGAUCAUAUGUAGGAGAGGCACAGUUUCAAAAGGCCAUUCACUGUUAGACAUUUCGACAAAUGUUGUAGAAUAUGUUAUAAUGUGUUGUUUGAAAUAGCUUAAAAUUAUAGGACAAAUUAUACUAAACAGAAUAUAGACAGAAACAUUUGUAGAGCAAAAAAAUUAAAACUUUUGAUAAACAGUAGCCUAUAUUUGUACAUUUAGUACGUCUACAUUGUACAGUUGUGGCUGUUUCAGAGCUUGGAGUACACAUGCAUAAACCUUAAACCAGCAAUAACCCAAUUUUAAAUUAACUUUUCCAUUUGAGGAGCUCAGGUGCAAAAGCCUCUAAACGCCACCUCACUUCAAAAAUGAGAUAAUGA